ACAGAGACAGACAGAGAGAGAGAUUACUGAGGCAGAGAAGGGUACCAGGGAGGGGACGUGCGCGCGCGUCAGCGUGUGUCUGUGGGUGCCCGAAGCAGCCGCGGCGGCUGGAGUGGCGGCCCUGGCCGGCUGCUGCCUUGUUUGUGCGGCUGCUUCCUGAUCAUGUGGAGCCUCAGCCGCUGCCGCCACCGCUGCUGCCUCCGUCGCGGCCGCUCUACUGCCGCCACUGAAGCUGCUGCUGCCUCUGCUGCUGCCGCGGCUGCUGCCCGGGGAGGACUCCGUUAGGAGUUCGGGGGGAGGGAGGGAAGAGGCAUUUCGCUGGUGCCGGCUGCACGUUGCACAGGCGAGAGCGUAAGAGAGUAGUAGAGGAGCUGGUGGCCGCGGGGCAAGUCCUGCCCCCGUGCCUAGAGUGAAAAGGGUUGUGUGGUUGCUGAGAGGGUGAAUGAAGCCAGGAGGAGGGGAAGGAGAAGGAGGAGGAGGCGCUGCAGGGAUUGGGAUGCGCCCAGUAGCCCCGCUGUUCACUCAGGGCCGGGCCAGGCCGGAGACACCAUCACCACUACCACUACCACCGCCUCCUACUUGUUCCAGUGCUGACUGCAUCUCAAGGCAAGCCAGCAGGGUGGUCCAUUCUGACUACGGAUUUAUUCAUGGUUUUUGCAUAGCAGCCCCUUCUCCCAUCAUCACAACUGGGAAGUGUACUAUAAAUCAGUGCAUUGCUAUGCUUAGCAGUCUAUCAUGAAGGCAAAAUGGGAUCUAUCAGUCUGUGAAAACAAG
rnacentral:lncRNA from 1 species